GUAGGUAGGUAGGUAGGUAGAUAGGUAGGGAGAUAGGGAGGGAGGUAGUCACUUUAUUGAUCCCAAUGGGAAAUGUGGGUUCCCAGCAGCUCAAUAAAAGCCAUAAAGCAACGAACAACAAACAGAGAAUUAAAAGGCAAUAAAAAGAGAGAGAAGGGAAGUGACUACAUCCGGAGAUGACAAAUAAAAAGUACACUGGAGAAGCAGGGAGAGUAACAGUGAAAAAAGAAGAAGUGGAAAAGUAGGAACGGCCGGA